rnacentral:rRNA from 1 species
GACGAACGCUGGCGGCGUGCUUAACACAUGCAAGUCGAACGCUGAAGCUCAGCUUUUGUUGGGUGGAUGAGUGGCGAACGGGUGAGUAACACGUGAGUAACCUGCCUCCUUCUUUGGGAUAACGCCCGGAAACGGGUGCUAAUACUGGAUAUUCACUGGUCUUCGCAUGGGGGUUGGUGGAAAGGGUUUUUCUGGUGGGGGAUGGGCUCGCGGCCUAUCAGCUUGUUGGUGGGGUGAUGGCCUACCAAGGCUUUGACGGGUAGCCGGCCUGAGAGGGUGACCGGUCAUAUUGGGACUGAGAUACGGCCCAGACUCCUACGGGAGGCAGCAGUGGGGAAUAUUGCACAAUGGGCGCAAGCCUGAUGCAGCGACGCCGCGUGAGGGAUGGAGGCCUUCGGGUUGUGAACCUCUUUCGCUCAUGGUCAAGCCGCAACAAUGGUUGUGGUGAGGGUAGUGGGGAAAGAAGCGCCGGCUAACUACGU